AUGUUACAUGUGUAACCUAUUGUUGGCUGUAAAUAAAUACUAAUUCUAUACUCCUUCGUUGAGUGGUACUUCACAAUACUUGUACAUGUAAAGCUCUGCAUGUGAAAAUCAUAUCCCUGUAACUUACGACCCUCCAAAGAACUAACCCAUAUCCUUUACACAGUUCCUAUAACUCAUCUCCCCUUAUGGCUUCAUUUACUUCUCUUUUCUUUUCAGCAGUGCAUUAAGUUAAAAAAAAUGAAGAGACACAAAUUCCACAUCUUUUCUAAACUCUCUCUCUCCCCUCCCCCUAAAGCCCUUCCUUCCGCUCCUUAUCUCUCUCUCAAACUUUCUCAAUAUUAA